GGGUUACCGGCGGAGGCUGGAAGGCGCAGGCGCAGCAGUUGCUGCUUCAGGGCGGGAGGGAGAAUACCUCAGUAGUAUUAAAAUUUAUACCAUGAGCCCUUUGGAGGAUGGGAGAGAGGAGAAGCAUGGUGAACAUCCAGCCAGUGGGCUGUAUAAGGCCCUGCUAAAUCAUUUGAUCUGGCCCUGUCAAGGCAACCACAGUCCAGCUCUCUGCUAUGGCCUGGGAAAGCAUUAGAAGAUGGCCCAAGUCCUUGGGCACCUGCACCCACGUGGGAGACCCAGAAGAAGCUCCUGGCUCCUGGCUUCAGAUCGGCACAGCUCCAGCCAUUGAGGCCAUCUGGAGAGUGAACCAGCGGAUGGAAGACCUCUCCCUCUGUCUCUACCUCCCUCUGUAACUCUUUCAAAUAAAUAA